GACGAACGCUGGCGGCGUGCUUAACACAUGCAAGUCGAACGGGUCUGCCCUGUUUUUUGCGGGGUGGGUCAGUGGCGAACGGGUGAGUAACACGUGAGUAACCUGCCCCUCACUUCUGGAUAACCGCUUGAAAGGGUGGCUAAUACGGGGUGUUCUGGCUGUGCCGCAUGGUGUGGCUGGGAAAGAUUCACUUUUGUGGUGUUUUGGUGGGGGAUGGGCUCGCGGUCUAUCAGCUUGUUGGUGGGGUGAUGGCCUGCCAAGGCUUUGACGGGUAGCCGGCCUGAGAGGGUGGGCGGUCACACUGGGACUGAGAUACGGCCCAGACUCCUGCGGGAGGCAGCAGUGGGGGGUAUUGCACAAUGGGCGGAAGCCUGAUGCAGCGACGUCGCGUGAGGGAUGGAGGCCUUCGGGUUGUGAACCUCUUUCGCCGGUGAAGAAGGUCCUGCUCUUUGUGGUGGGGUUGACGGUAGCCGGGUUAUGAAGCGCCGGCUAACUACGUG
rnacentral:rRNA from 1 species